rnacentral:ribozyme from 2 species
GUUAUAAUGUAGCUUAGUAUUUACUAAACUGUUCCAAGCCAGUAUAAAUACAGAGGAUAAC